rnacentral:rRNA from 1 species
AUGGUGCUGGUGCAGUUGUUCAUCACGGGGAUGAUCCUGCUGUCCAAGGUGUCCAUCGGUGGUGGCAUGUUCAUCUUCGCCCUCCUCGCCUACCGCAGUCUCUUCGGCGCCGCCUUCAUCCUCCCAUUGGCGCUCAUCUUCGAAAGGGGCAAGUGGAGGGAGAUGGGUUGGCACGCCACGGGAUGGAUCUUCCUCAACGCCUUCAUCGGGUAUGCAGUGCCAAUGAGCCUAUACUACUAUGGUCUCAGUGAUACAACGCCAACUUAUGCUGUCAUCUUUCUGAACAUAAUUCCGCUGGUCACAUUCAUUCUCUCGCUCGUCUUCAGAAUGGAAACAUUGCAAAUCUGGAGCAUAGCUGGAUCAAUGAAGAUUGUAGCCGUUGUGCUCUCGGUUGGAGGCACAAUGCUCAUCAGCCUUUACAAGGGCAAGACACUGCAUCUCUGGGAUCCCAUUCUGAAGCACCACCACGAGGGACAACAAACUACAGAGGUUGCAAGCAAUCAUCUAAGGGGGACAAUAUUCUUGGUAGGCAGCAGCAUCACACUUGCUUGCUGGUACCUGAUUCAGUCAAAGGUUAUGAAGGUGUAUCCAUACAAAUACUGGUCGUCUAUGGUGACAUGCUUUGUUGGAGGAUUUCAAACCGCACUAGUUGGAAUAAUAUUGAGUAGAGACAAGAACAAGUGGAAGCUAGGAUGGGAUCUGAACCUUAUGACCAUCUUCUACUCGGGGGCACUUGCAACGGCGGGGAAAUAUAGCCUGAACUCAUGGGUCAUGGCCAAGCGAGGCCCGGCAUAUCCUCCAAUGUUCAGCCCAUUGUCUGUGGUAUUCACAGUUUUGUUGGACUCCAUCUUCAUAGGCGACGAGAUUACAGUAGGAAGCCUGUUCGGCACAAUAGUGGUAAUUGUUGGGCUCUACAUUUUCCUAUCAGCAAAAUCAAAAGAAGUACGGGACAAGUAG